AACUCAGUGCUUACUGACAUCCACUCUCAGAUCAACAGAGUUUCUUGUCCCAGGAAGAAGAUUGGGUUUUCUCUUUUGUAAUAUUUAACCUUUUGUUUUUGGAGAUUUGGUGGGCAUGCAUGCAGCCAAAGGCAUGCCUGGGUUCAACACUACACCCCUGACGCUGGAUCUAAAUGAUUUUUGUAGUCCGAAGCCGGAUUUAAAUAAG
rnacentral:lncRNA from 1 species